GGGAUUGUAGCUCAGUGGUAGAGCACAUGCUUAGCAUGCACAAGGUCCUGGGUUCAAUCCCCAGUACCUCCA
rnacentral:tRNA from 1 species